AGUGCCAGAAAGGACAGUUAAGGCUGAGUGUCGACUCCAAGAACUGCCGCAUAAACGAAGCAAUAAAAGGAGCGUAGGUGGAGUGAGAAGCGGGGGUCAUGGAGGUGGAGUACAAAAAUCAAAAUAAAAGGAAUAAGAUCAUUUAUUAAAAAGCAGGUCCCCAUCCGAUGACAUCUGUGAUCCACACAUACUGUUUCUGCCCCAGUUCUACACUAGGACUCAGCCUGGGUUGCAGGUUGGUCAGUCUAUGGGCUCUGGUCACAUCCAAGACUCAGCAUUUCAGAAGACAUCUUCGGGAACUGGGAGCUAUGGAAGAGGAAGUUAGCAGCUACUGCACUGCAGGUGAGCAGGGCAAACUGCUCUGCACUUGCUCAGAGAUCAUCUAUAAUGGAUGCUAAGACAGCCAAGGUUGCCAGGAAUUGAUUGGCCUCUCCGUAUAAGCUUUCAGAAAUAGCAGGUAUCUGUCCAUCGAUUCUGAAAUACAUUACUGCUGAAGCACCUUCAACAUCUGUGUCAUCAGAGUCAGAGGCCGAAGCUCUUGGAGGCAACCUCUCUUUGGAGACAGAAAAUGCUGAAAGGGGGAGUUUGCUCAUAUUUAGUGACCUUGACCUUCCAAACAGUUACAGACUGGGAGGGUUUUGUUGUAAGAAUCACCACAAUGCCCUCUGUACUUUGAGGAGAAAACACCAACCAGAUGCCCUUGAGCCAGGACAGAGAAUAGCAAGUGAAAGUUUAUCAAAGCACACUGCUUAUCUGGUGUCGUCCUGUUCCAGGUUCCUGUGACUGGGAAACAGUCAGGGAGAUGACAAUGGUGAGCCUACUGCUAUUUGGACAAUUCACUCGAAAGUCACUCGAAGACUAAUGUACCCAGGAGCUACUAUUUAGCUUCAACAACAGCUGUCAGUUCACCAUCAACCUCAUUCCCAUUUCAAUUAGCUAUUCACCUCCAAAUUUCUUUCUAUCUAUCUAUCUAUCUAUCUAUCUAUCUAUCUAUCUAUCUAUCUAUCUAUCAUCUAUCUCAAGGUUAAUAAGUAAAAUAAACGAGAACUAAUUAUAAUACUAACUCUCAUUUUCUUUUAUAAUAAUCGAUACAAAGAACAUAUUCUACCUGUAUUCCAAUUUCCCUGUCAGUAGAAUAUGAGUACAUUUUCAGCUCAGAGAAGACCAGGUCACAGCAUUUGAGCUCAGCUUCCUGGAGCUGCUACAGAACCCAAGGAGUUGUUGUUGUUGUUGUUGUUGUUGUUGUAGAGAGGGCUUACAGCCAGGCCACCUAGAAUUCCCGCACUAGUAUGGCUGGUAAUUCAUACAGAGAGACAGGGGCCAUCCCUUCCACUAGACUGUUGGUCUGCCACUUCAGCUGUCCAACAAGCCAAAACCCUCUUCAACAGUUCAAAGCAUUUAAAUUGUGCUCCGAUUUCCCUGGGUGAGACAUUCCCUGAUGGGCUACCACAGCAGAGACAAGCCCCAACAAAGGUCAUGUGGCUCUAAUCUGCGAUUCCAGGCGCUUCCUGCUGUAGCAUGGACUCAGGCCCACUCAACUUAGUAUGACCAAAAGGGAAGGCUCCUUGCUGGCUCCACAGAACCCAUGAACAGGGCAACCUGGCAGAACGAAUCAGGAACCACAGGCAACUUCAAGGAAUACUCUUUGUUCCCCAUUUUUGGAUUACUUUUGGAGACCCCAAAUUGGUGACUCUCAUUUUGGAGUUCCAACCUUGCUGUUAACUCCUGCCUUCCGUCUGUCCUGACUCCUGUCCAGACUCCUGCUGUCCAUCUGUCCUGACAACUUUGCACUAACAUGGACCUCUGACAGGCUUCCUUUCUGAGGCAGUAGUUGCGGCUAUUCAUAAGAAGGCACUUGGCAAGCCACAGCCGUCCUCUGAAUGGAUCCUCACUGCAAGCCUGGCAGCCAUUCAUUCAUUCAACCCGUGUUUACAAGUUUCACUAUGUGUGUGGCAAUCCAUGACAAACUGUGGGAAAACAGAAUAAAACAAAACAAAACAGACCACUUCCUCCCUUCUUGAAGCUUCCACACUAGGGGCAAUGAACCUCAGAAAAUGGCCAUUAUUAUCCCAAUAAAAUACAUGGGGGACAG
ensembl:antisense Gm44026 predicted gene, 44026